GUGUCAGCAGCCGCGGUAAAACGUAGGAGGCGAGCGUUAUCCGGAUUUACUGGGUGUAAAGCGCAUGCAGGCGGUAAGCUAAGAUGGGUGUGAAAGCUCCUGGCUCAACUGGGAGAGGUCGCUCAAGACUGGCUUACUAGAGGCUGGGAGAGGAAAGUGGAAUUCCGGGUGUAGUGGUGAAAUGCGUAGAUAUCCGGAGGAACACCAGUGGCGAAAGCGGCUUUCUGGACCACGCCUGACGCUCAGAUGCGACAGCUAGGGGAGCAAACGGGAUUAGAGACCCCGGUAGUCCUAGCCGUAAACGAUGUGUACUAGGCGCUGGGUGGGUAAAACCGCUCAGUGCCGCAGCUAACGCGCUAAGUACACCACCUGGGGACUACGGCCGCAAGGUUAAA
rnacentral:rRNA from 1 species